CCUGCCUACAGGAUCCCUGGGGCACGGUGUUGCUGCAGGAGGAUCACUGCACAGGGAUGGGCUCCUAGCAGAGCCUGCAUGGCCCCAUGGCUUGGGGACAGUGGGUGCUCUGUACUUGGUGCACCCAGGUCCUGCACUGCUGGGGCAGGAGGCAACACAGAGCAAUGCAGUGAUGCCAUGCAGUGGUGAGAUGGCCCCAGAGGAUACCUGGUUGAAUCCCAUUUUGCCCUCUGUGUGUAUAACAUCCCCUUUAUAGAUCCGCCAGUCAGGCAGUGUCCUGCCUGCUGCUCAUCCUGCCUCCUUUAACUACACCACCACUGGCAUCUCGGUGUCAUUCACACUGUAAUCUCAUAGGUAUCUGUUUCCUAUCUGGAUCCCACCUGUCAGAGCACCUCUUUCCACUGGCAGUAUGGGUAGUGAAUGACCUUCAGCCAGCGAGUGGUUAUAGCCUUAAGACAACACAAUUAAACAUGUUUUAUUGCUUAACACACUGUGUCAGGAGCCCUAGUUGUGUUUUUGUUCCAGUCUUCUAUCGUUUUCAGAAAUGCCUGGAACUGUGACAGCUCAAAGCGCCGGUGCACUUCUGCUCCCAGAUUAAGACAACUCUCCAACAUUACACCAUCCAGACCAUCAUGGCUUUGGCUCCUGCUGCAUCUUCCAGCACAUGGCUUGAAUCCCCCUCUUCAGCCUUCCACCAAGCUGAAACAGCUACGGCAGACACGUUGGAUCAUAUCUGAUUUUUUGUUGCUGUUAAGAGUCCAUUUUCAGCCAAUGGCUUCUGAGCAUUAUUCCUCAUGGCUUCUUAGCUGCAUGCUCUGGGCCUUGUGCUUUGCGCAACUUUUUAAUAGACCCUCUCUCAAAGCACCUCACACUUGUGUACAAAUGACUGCUCGUUUCCUCAGCCCUUCUCCCAUUGGCUUUUGCAGCUGUUGUCAUUAAUGGCUUUAACUGCAUUUAAAUUGUCUUGAUUUGUCUGUGAGUUGCGUUGGUCAAGGAGCAGUUGUUUGGCACAUCCAUCAUUUCUGUCUCAGUCUAACCACCAAGGUUUCCUUUGUUGCCACCAGGAAAUGCUUUUUGUAGCACCCAGCAGAGAUCUGUCGAGUCUGUGCUGAGGUGUGAGGUCUGCACACACAGGGCAGCUCCCACAGCACCGAACACAUUUUGGGGCUGACCAAAUUGUUUUCCUACCUCUCCUCCAGAGAGGUUUUUGGUGCCUCUGUGGCAGAUCUCUCCGAGUGAAGCAGUGCUUCCUCCGUGCACAGAUCGGAUGGGAGUUUUGUUUGCAGAACUCAGAACAAACCAAACAAAAAAAAAAAAAAAAUAAAAGAAAAAUUGCAGUUGCUAAUUAGGCUGAGAUUGUGCAAUGCUUUUCUUUAUGGUUUCCCAAUGGAAGAAAGACUCUCCCGCCCAAAGGAGGAGCCUCCUUGCAGCCAUGCUCCUUCCCAGCCCUGCACCAUGCCAGCUGUCCCACAGGCAAUGGGGGAGGCAAAGAGUAUUUUCUCAUUAAGGCUUUUGCACCACAAGUACCCCUGGACCAGAUUCACUGCAGCAAUGUUGGGCUGUGUGCAGUCUGAAACUGUUUGCAUGUCAAGAAUUUCUCCCAAGGCUACCAAGGCUCCUCUGCUGCUGUGAACCACAGUGGCCUGGAGGGGAGGCAGGAGAGUGUGCUGCAUGGGCAGACUGCAUGGACAGCAUGCACAGAGAGCCUGCACAGAGAGCAUGCAUGCAGAGCCUGCAUGGACAACCUGCACGGAGAGCAUGCACAGAGAGCUGCAGGGAGAGCUGCUGAACAUCCUCCUCCCCUUUGGGGCUGCAAUUUCUUUCCUCCACCUGGUUUUCCUGAGGAGCAGAGCUCAGCAGCUGGAGGCAGCAGUGCUGAUGGCAGUGCCCUGCUCCUAACGAUGCCAGCGGAGUGCUGCUUGGGAUGAGGUUUCUGCAGUGCUGCACACCCAUGCCUGCUGCUGCCGGUGCAUGGCAAAGCUCUUCCUUCCCUCCUCUGCUCUCCUCUGGUCGGAGCAGCUCCGUGUGCCCAGCAAAAAGCAGCACAGGGAGGCCACGAGGAGCAGCAGCCAUCGCCCUUGAUUGGAGAAUCCUGACACAAAUGGCACAAGAAAAACAAAUAGGGAGGGAAAUGAACAAAUUAUACCGAUAAUUGGUUUAAAAAAUGCAUCAAAGAAAAAUGAUAUCCAAUAAUACCGCUGGUUCCUAAUGAAUGUGUGUGUAAUAAAAUCAGGCUGUUUGGGCCGCGGUUAGCCCUGCACUUCACAUCCCCAGAUUAAAAAUGGAACAUCUGUGAUGAUUUAAUUUACAUGUUAAUAACAAACAGGCCUCCAGAAACCAACGAAUAAAUGCCUUUUAUUGCCGGCGUAUCUUUUCCACUGCAGCUUGAAUGAAAACUCUGG
rnacentral:lncRNA from 1 species